GUCGAGAAUUUUUCUCAAUGGGGGCAACCCUGAAGGAGCGACGCCGCGUGGAGGAUGAAGGUUUUCGGAUUGUAAACUCCUGUCAUUGGUGAACAAAGCAGAGCGUUAACUGCGUUUCUGCCUGCUAGUAGCCGAAGAGGAAGGGACGGCUAACUCUGUGCCAGCAGCCGCGGUAAUACAGAGGUCCCGAGCGUUGUUCGGAUUCAUUGGGCGUAAAGGGUGCGUAGGCGGCGAGGUAAGUCUGAUGUGAAAUCCCGGGGCUCAACCCUGGAACUGCAUUGGAUACUGCCUUGCUAGAGUACUGGAGAGGAAACUGGAAUUUACGGUGUAGCAGUGAAAUGCGUAGAGAUCGUAAGGAAGGCCAGUGGCGAAGGCGAGUUUCUGGACAGUUACUGACGCUGAGGCACGAAGGCCAGGGGAGCAAACGGGAUUAGAAACCCUAGUAGUCC
rnacentral:rRNA from 1 species